rnacentral:rRNA from 1 species
UACGUAGGGGGCAAGCGUUGUCCGGAAUCAUUGGGCGUAAAGAGCGUGUAGGCGGUUCGGUAAGUCGGCUGUGAAAGUCCAGGGCUCAACCCUGGGAUGCCGGUCGAUACUGCCGGACUAGAGUUCGGAAGAGGCGAGUGGAAUUCCUGGUGUAGCGGUGAAAUGCGCAGAUAUCAGGAGGAACACCAAUGGCGAAGGCAGCUCGCUGGGACGUGACUGACGCUGAGACGCGAAAGCGUGGGGAGCGAACAGG